rnacentral:rRNA from 1 species
ACGGGUGAGUAAUAUAUCGGAACGUACCCAAGAGUGGGGGAUAACGUAGCGAAAGUUACGCUAAUACCGCAUACGAUCUAAGGAUGAAAGCAGGGGAUCGCAAGACCUUGUGCUCCUGGAGCGGCCGAUAUCUGAUUAGCUAGUUGGUGGGGUAAAGGCCCACCAAGGCAACGAUCAGUAGCUGGUCUGAGAGGACGACCAGCCACACUGGAACUGAGACACGGUCCAGACUCCUACGGGAGGCAGCAGUGGGGAAUUUUGGACAAUGGGGGCAACCCUGAUCCAGCAAUGCCGCGUGAGUGAAGAAGGCCUUCGGGUUGUAAAGCUCUUUUGUCAGGGAAGAAAAGGCUGUGGCUAAUAUCUACAGCUGCUGACGGUACCUGAAGAAUAAGCACCGGCUAACUACGUGCCAGCAGCCGCGGUAAUACGUAGGGUGCAAGCGUUAAUCGGAAUUACUGGGCGUAAAGCGUGCGCAGGCGGUUUCGUAAGUCUGUCGUGAAAUCCCCGGGCUUAACCUGGGAAUGGCGAUGGAGACUGCGAGGCUAGAGUUUGGCAGAGGGGGGUAGAAUUCCACGUGUAGCAGU